rnacentral:misc_RNA from 1 species
AGCAAAAUAUUUCAUUUAUCAAUUUUAUUUUUCUACAUGAACACGACGAUCUCAAUUUUUCCUUUAGAGUGCCUAAUUAUAACAAACAAGUAUGAACCUACAUAUAUGAGAUAGCGAUGGCCUCACCUGAAAUUGGCAGCUACACACCCUGGAAGAUACUGGAGGCCAUUUGAAUUACUCUCUAGUCUCAUUCCUAACAACCAAAAUCUCAACAAUCCCAAUCUGAAGCUGAUAUAUAACUAGUUUCAACUGUACUUAUGAACAAGUAUAUAACAUCUCAUUUUGCCAUUCUUCCCCGAAUAUAGAACUAAUCAAGACACUAUAUAUAUGUAUAUAUAUCACAUCUCCCUCCACCUUGAAUGAAUCAAGACUCAAGAAUACCAAUUCAGGUUUGAUAGCUGGUAUGGUGGCCUAAAAAUCCCAUCUCCCAUAGACCCCAACAUUGUUUGUUGGUGCAAUGGAGGUGUUUGUGGGAGCUGGCUAAGCAGAGAGGCUAUGGAACCGUUCCCAUCAGUCCUCACAACACUUCCAUCUCCAUUAUCCCCCUGAAAUCUCUUGCUUGAUGGAGGUCCACCCGCGUCGUCAUCGCUCCAAUACAGAGAUGGGUGUGUUCUUUUGAGAGGAAGCAUAGACAGCUCUGCAGGUCUAGAGGUUGAAGAGGCCAACUGAGAGAAAAAGUUAGUGUUAUUAAUGCCAUCGUUGCUUAACAUUGCGUUAAAAAAAUUCUGCUCAUUUUCAACCAAUGCUUCAUAGUUUGGGCCAUUUACGAGCUGCAGUUUCGUAUUCUGUUGGGUACCAACUGAUAUCGAUGGUGGUAUUGAUCCAAGCAUAUCCUCCACAGAAUCAAUAUCUUUAUCGUGAUCCAUUGGUCGAAGUGUGUUAUUUUUCUUGUAUAUUCGACACAAAACCCAAUCGUCAAGCCUUAAGGAGUUUUUCUUGUUGCCCAAGUCACAUCCUGGGGGCUUGUUACUGACUUUUUUAUCUGCUAAUCUGUACUCAUGCAUGAUCCAAUUGG